rnacentral:lncRNA from 1 species
GAGUUCCUCUGGCUGGAGGGUUGCUAGGGGGUCUAGGCACAGCAGCUGGGGACGGAGGCUGGGGAACCUGUGGUCUCAGCUCUGCAGGGCACUCCAAGGACUCCCCAGGAGCACCAGCUCUAUUAGGUGGCUGGUGAUGUGGCUGGUCCCUAGAAAGGAAUACAUUUACAGUCAAUUUUCAUUCUUUACAAAGGCAAACCUUCAGGGACAGAAAGACUUUUAGAACUAUGGGAAGAUCCCAGUGGGCUCUCUCUCCUCUGCCUCUAUUUCUUAACUGAGACAGAAGGAAGAGGGGAGCUCCAUGGAGUUGUAGUCAAUAAGCGUUUCAGCUGGCUGCCACAUGUGAGGGCCUGUGCUCUGACUCCAAAGAGGGAAGCAGGAUUUGAUUUCUCUAUUCAAGAUUUGUUUAAUUGGAAAAACAAGUCUCAUGCACAGGGCAGACAAGGUCACCAACAAAACAAAGUAGUAUGACAGGUGACACAGAUGGUUGAUGUUAUAGGCAUUCAGAUAAAAAGACAUGACUUUUAGCUCAUAAUAGGUAACAUUUAAUUAUGUAUCAAAAGGUAAAGAGGGCCAUGUAGAUUUAGAAGUAUUUGUACUGUUGACAUAUAAAUGGAAAUCUGAUUUUGAAGACCCUUUAAAGAAGUUGCUACCAUAUUAGAUAGCAUCUUUAUUAUUUUCGUUGCCAGUAUUCCCACGAGCAUUCUGCUGAGAUGAACAAUCAGAUGACCUCGUGUGAGAUUUGGAGGAGAGAAGGAAAUGGAGAGCAUGCGUCUGCCGCUUCUGUGGUUUCUGUCGGCUUUCUCCAUAUUUACGUGCUUGUAACUCUGGCAUGACCUUUGCUCCAGUCUCUACCAGAGGGCGGUGCCUGGAUUGAAGUGGAAAAGCCCUGUUUUCCAGCCAUGACCCAGGGAGCAAGCACUGACUCCUCAGGGGAACAGGAGACCUGCCAACUAGGACCCUGGGAGCCCCCAUGCUGGCAGUGCCCUGGGUCAUCUCAGGCUCAUCAGCAAAUCCUGGGGGGAGAGCGGGGCUGGAGGGCGAAGAAGCCCAGGAGAGUUCCUGGCUCAGAACCCCUCUCUGAGGCUCCCAAUACAGAGCCCAGGCCCCACACCCAGGGCCUCUGAGUAUUUUUGUUUAUUGUAUGUAAAAUACUAGUGUAUUUUUGUUUAAGUCUCACAGGUAAACAGGUUCUCUCAUACUUUGCCAAGGGAAAUGUGAUCUGUGCAAUUUGGCAAUAACUAUCAGAAUUUUAAAAGCUUAUGCCCUUUGACCUAGUAAUUUCACUUCUAAGAAUUUCCCCUGCAGAGAUAUGUAUAUCUUGUAUGAAAUGAAGAGGCUACGAAGACAGGCAACGCCGCAGUGUUUAUAAUAGCGAAGACCAGACACAACCCACAUGUCUAAAGGUUCUGAUUUUUAAAACUGUAGUAUAUCUGUACAAUGAGCACUCCACAUCCUUUAAGAAUGAGGAAGGGCUGUGUGAACUGAAAUGGAACUAUCUCUAAGAUUUAUUAAGUUAAAAAAAUUCAAGAGUAGCACAGUGUGUAGGGUAUGCCAUCAUUUGUAUGAUAUAAGGUCGUAUAUCUGCCAUCUCAAAUGAGGAACAGUGGUUGCCUCUGGGAAGGGAAUUGGAUGGCUAGGAAUGGGGUAGGAAAGAGGUUUGCUUUUCAGAACAUUUUAUACUAUUUAAGUUUUGUAACAAGUGCAUCUAUUUUGACUUAAAAGAUAAAAAAUGAAAAGGAAAGGCUCCACUAGUGAUUCUGAUGCUCACAAAGAUUAAGAACCAAUGCGAAUGAGGAACUCAUGACACCGCCCAGGAGACAGUGAACAUAUCUCUUCAAAUAUCAAAAACCUUUCAGCAGAGGAGCCAUUCACCUUGAAGCUGAGGAGGCAUGGAAGCAGGCCACCUGUGUUCUGUACAGCAUCACCAGGCUGGAAAUCUGCCAUGGCUUUCCUUCACGCCAUCACAAGAGGAUACAGAUGAGGCUGCAGAGGCAUCUUGAUUUGAGAAAAGCAUUUGACUGGAUCUCAUUAAAUUUUAAUCAUUAACUGAAUUCAAAAUAAAUUGAAAACUGGUUGACAGAGCACCAACAAAGGGUGAUGAUAAAUGGUGAUGCAUCUAGAGGGGAGCUAUCUUCCAGGGGACAACUCUAAGGCAAGGACGGAUGGGAUUUAAUGAAGGUGUUAUGUCCCCAGAAGAAGACAAAUAGCACAGCAAGGAACAGAGGAAGGACAGGAGUGAGCAGCCUGAGUAAUUAAUAAACCAUAUUAACAGCUCCUCCAUAAUCAGGCCUUGGUGAUCACAACUGCUUGGAUUUUUUCUUAAGCUUUCUUUGAGUCAGGAAUAGGUUUGAAGCGUCCUAGAGACACACAGCAUGAAUAUUUCAGGUGGACAUUAAAAAGAAAUCUAUAAAUUUACAGCUGGGAGGAUCCUGAGAUCUACUUCGGAUCAGAAACUUUCAAUUACAAGAUUCCCAAGGCCUUACUUCAUUCCCCAGAGAGUAAUCUUUUUAAUAAAUGUCCAAAAGUCAUGGAUUUAAAAAAAAAUCUUUAAACUCAUUAAUGUCCUUUGUUUCCUGCCCAAAUGCAUGCAAACUUUCAUAACACUGGUUUGCUGAGUGGAAGGUUGGUUUUGAGUGAACUGUUUGGCUCAGAUUCAAACUCCAAUGAACAAAUACUUCCAAGUUUACUUGCUGAAUUUCCCAUACAGAGAAGUUCUUCCACUGGGCUUGCCAGAGGAUUUGAAACAGUGGUGAGCCCUGGAAGGAAGGGAAUAUUUACUGGCCCUUGGACAUAAACCCAGCACAGUAAGACUCACAUCAGGCUGAAGGCAGUGCAGUAUGAACCGACCUGAUUUGAGGAAGUUUGCUCUGGGACUCCUCUGAGCUACUAAAUGAGGAGGAGAAGGACUAAUGGGAACACACUGACUCCAUCACAUUAGAAGUUAUAAUAAACAUUUAGAGAACAACCUCAAACCAGCCCAUGUUUUUUUUUUUUUUCUGUCGUUGUCAUUGUUUUGGUUUUUGUUUUUUUGUUUCUUCAGAUAAGAUGGUUU